GAUGAACGCUAGCUACAGGCUUAACACAUGCAAGUCGCGGGGCAGCAUGGGGGUUGCUUGCAAUCCCCGAUGGCGACCGGCGCACGGGUGAGUAACGCGUAUUCAACCUGCCCCUCACCACGGGAUAACCCGGCGAAAGUCGGACUAAUACCGUAUGUUGUCCAUUGACGGCAUCCGAUUUGGACGAAAGGCUUGGCGGUGAGGGAUGGGGAUGCGUCCGAUUAGCCAGACGGCGGGGUAACGGCCCACCGUGGCUACGAUCGGUAGGGGUUCUGAGAGGAAGGUCCCCCACACUGGAACUGAGACACGGUCCAGACUCCUACGGGAGGCAGCAGUGAGGAAUAUUGGUCAAUGGGCGUAAGCCUGAACCAGCCAAGUAGCGUGCAGGAUGACGGCCCUAUGGGUUGUAAACUGCUUUUAUGCGGGGAUAAAGUGGCCCACGUGUGGGCUUUUGCAGGUACCGCAUGAAUAAGGACCGGCUAAUUCCGUG
rnacentral:rRNA from 1 species